rnacentral:rRNA from 1 species
ACGGGAGGCAGCAGUGGGGAAUAUUGGACAAUGGGGGAAACCCUGAUCCAGCGACGCCGCGUGAGUGAAGAAGUAUUUCGGUAUGUAAAGCUCUAUCAGCAGGGAAGAUAAUGACGGUACCUGACUAAGAAGCCCCGGCUAACCACGUGCCAGCAGCCGCGGUAAUACGUAGGUGGCAAGCGUUGUCCGGAAUGACUGGGCGUAAAGGGAGCGUAGGCGGCGCAACAAGUUAGGAGUGAAAUCCCGAGGCUUAACCUCGGAACUGCUUUUAAAACUGUUGUGCUUGAGUGAUGGAGAGGAAAGCGGAAUUCCUAGUGUAGCGGUGGAAUGCGUAGAUAUUAGGAGGAACACCAGAGGCGAAGGCGGCUUUCUGGACAUUAACUGACGCUGAGGCUCGAAAGCGUGGGGAGCAAACAGGAUUAGAUACCCUGGUA